UACGAAGGGUGCAAGCGUUACUCGGAAUUACUGGGCGUAAAGCGUGCGUAGGCGGUUCGUUAAGUCUGUCGUGAAAGCCCUGGGCUCAACCUGGGAAUUGCGAUGGAUACUGGCGAGCUAGAGUACGGUAGAGGAUGGUGGAAUUCCCGGUGUAGCGGUGAAAUGCGUAGAGAUGCGGAGGAAUACCAGUGGCGAAGGCGGCCUUCUGGGGCUCAACUGACGCUGAAGCGCGAAAGCAUGGGGAGCGAACGGG
rnacentral:rRNA from 1 species